CAUCAGUGAGGCAUAUCAUCCAUUGGAUGAUAUAAUGCAGUAGCAAUGCAGUAGCCCUGGUAGUCUUUGCCCCAGACAAAGCAAUUAAUUGUUUCUCCAAACAAUUUUUUGUCGGCAAAGCCAAAAGUCCUGUGACAAGACUUCAUGCUUCUCCAGUUCUCCUGUCAAAGGCCCAGACUGUGCCACCUAAGGUCUUACACCUAAGGUAUCUACUAUGCCUGGAUCUCCCUUUGCCUCUGCAGAAUGGGCAAAGGUUUAAGCUGCUUCCACAACAUUGUUUCUUUAGUUCUCCCUUAUCCCCAGAGAUCCUUUGCAGGGUCCAGCACCAGUGCCUGGGGAAAGGAAUGAGGAAUUUGCAACAUCCCCAACAAAUCCUGUAGAGAACAUACUGAAAAGUUAUUGUAGACAUGGUAGUUAUUGUAGACAUAGACCUCUGCACUGAAGAACCCCUCUUUUAGGAAGGUGCAUCCACAGGCAAAGGGGUUCCUAAGAGCUGCCAAGGAGCUGGAACAUGGGGCAGAGGACUCCAGAGCUCAUAUAGAUACAGAUAUCUCAGGGAUUCCAGCAGGUCCCAGAAGCUCCAUGGGACCCUGCUUCUUCCCUGAGGAAACAAACACCCCUCCUCCCUACUGGAAUGAUCUGGGGAAAUCUUCAUGAGGGGAAGUAUGGAGUUUUCCUCUCCUCACCUCCAAACUCCCUGCCAUGACUUUGUGCUCACUGAAGGAAGAGGGUGAAUUGGCCCAAUUCUAUUUGACUGUGGAAUUAACAAACUGGGUGUUGAUGCCAUAGAUACGACUGAGUAAACAUUCCCAAUAAAGUACUAACCUGAACAAAGACUAACCAGAAGUGUUGUCUAUAAAAUCCUGACAGGGAAAAGAAAAAGUUAUACUGUAAUCACGAAUGCAAAUAAAAGUGACAGUCAACGCAUUAUGGUGUGGUAAUGGGCUGUUCGCAGAAUACUGGCUAUGCUACCAGCUUCCAGACCAAGGAAAAGAAAUUGAGUGCACAAUGUUGGGAGAAAUCAAAGAGGUAGAAAAAUUAAACAAAAUGAUAAUAACGGAGGACUUCAACUACCCCCAUGUACAAACUGGUCAAAUGGCACAAUGGGAGAGCAGUUAAAGAAACAAUUUAAGAGAUUGCUUCUUGGAACAGCUAGUUCUAGAGCACACAAGAGGAGAGCUACUCUUCAUUUGGGUUAAUUAACACACAGGAGCUAAUUCAAGAAGUGACAGUUGCUCUUUAUAUGUCCUUCUGGAAUUCUGUUAACCUCUGACAUGUGUGCUCCCAAUCUCUCUAGGCCCAUCACUGUUUAUUAUAUUUGACACCACAUUAUGGCUGGAGAUGGGCCAAAGUCAAAAAGCUGGUAUCUGAAGUUUGCCUAAUUUCAGGGGGUGAAAUUCUGGCCCUGCUAUAGUCAUUGGAAAACUCCCAAAGACUUCACUUCUGGCCAGGAUUUGACCUGGAGUGGUAAUAUCCAGAGGUCUGGUUUGGGCUCACGUCUCUAGAUUAUAGUUGCAAGUGUUCAAAUACAGUGUGGCUGUGAGGUGACUCAGAUCUUUUUGUUUUAAAAUAUAUAACACUAACAAUAAUGUCAUUGUUUUCCAUGGAGUUUGCUCUGAGAAUUAUGUAUGUACAACUAAACCUCCAUUCUUGUGCUGCUUUUUCUACCCCACUACGAUUGUGAAUCUGAGCAGCAUGUGCUAUGAAAUUUGUAAAUAUGAACUCUAUACAUUCAUAUUUAAUUAUUUUAUUUUAUUUAAUCCAGAGGGAAAGCUCAUUUUAUAAACCAAAUUUUAUCCUCAUUUGGAAAAAUCCAGUAAGCCUGAGUUCUGAAGGCACUUACUCGACAGGUUAAGUUAAUUUUUUGAAAACAUCUUUUCUGAGUAUUGGAAUAAUUCUGUGUCAUGGGAAGAAUUCAGGGUUUUUUUUCUAGUUAUUUUUAUGGCUGUAAUUCUGGGAUGGUGGAGGUGUGUGUGUUGGGGGGUAAGAAUGGGAAAUUUGGGUCAGACCCUCCUCUUUUUAUAUUGAAGCCAAUAAACAUCUUACACGUGUGACUAUGCAUUUUGUCACAGAAAUGAAUGCUAUAAUAAUGUAUGGUCCCUAUAAAAUGCCUCCUUCAUGGGGACUCUACCCACUAGGCUCUUGGCAAGGGCUACCAUCUUCUGGGGAACAGAUCUCAGGCUUUGAGUAUUAGACACAGCUUCAUUGGAUCCUUUGACGGUUCAGCUAAGGAAGCUAAGUACAGUACCAGAGCUAAGAAUGCAUGGUCUCCCCACCUGGGGAAACAGUUUCCAGAUCACUUUACAGGGACAUCCACUUAUGCUAAUAGUGUCAAUGCUCGUGUUCUAAGAAGCCAAUAAAACGUCUAUAAAUGGGCAGUAAAAACAGAAGGAGGGCAGACUGCCCUGCGUAGCUUUAAACUAAUAAGAGAUUAAAAACUGAAAACAGAAAGCUGUAGAUUAAAAAAAUAUCUGGUUCAACAACUCUAUUGUACAUAGACUAAUGAGACAAAGGUGGGAUUUUCAAAGGGGCCAAAGGUAGUUGGAUACCUGGUGCCUAACUCCGUUUGGUCACUUAGAAGAUGCCAGCCUUAACCCCCACAACCCAGCCACCUCUUCCUAUGGUGACCUGGCUAGGCUAGGCUCUGAGAGCAGAGGAGACGCAGAGGCAAACCAAGACAAAAGGGGAAAAUUUACAUUUUUAGAAAUUUAUAAGGGAAAACUCCCAAAUUGUACCAGGAGCAUAAAUAAUAUAGCACAUUCCCAAAGGCUUACUAUUUAGGCUACCAACUCAUUAACCCUUGUGAGAUUGUAUAUGUUGUGUGGUUAGUACCAAAGGCAUUGCUAUUAACAAGAGCAAAAGAGAUGACUUAACAAUAUACUGUGUCACUUCAGCGAAUAACCAACUUUUCCUCUCCAUGGCUGUAAAGUCCAGCUCCACUCUUGCUGUCUGGUUCUUUGCUUCUCUUCGGCUUGAAGUGCUCAUUAGAUUCGAUGUUCCUGUGUCUGUCCCACUUUUCACUGAGGUUAUCCACAAGCAGGGUUUCUUCACCUAGUGGUCCCUCAUGUGUCCAUUAGGCAUCUUGGAACUGUAUUCUGUCAAUAGACGUUUAAACAGUCAUUCUUGCUGUUCAGACACUGUAGGUCCUGUGUGAGGCCAUUUUCAGGAUCUGUUUUCAUCUAACCCAGCUUUUUGAUCAAUUCCCUUUUCCAUCAGUUAUAUUUCCUUUCAGUUGCCUUUCCCUCCCCGCCCUUGAUAUUUCGUGUCAGUACACCUGUAGAUUUCACUUCUCUCUGCUUCCCUUCUCUAACAGCACCUGCUCACGAACGCAGGUCUAUUUUUUUCCUGCUUCUCCUGACCCAAACCCCUUCCUAUUGUCCUUCUUUCCUCCUUCUCACUUCCCAGACCCUACUUUCAUUCUCCUGUUCUUUUAUUUUAGCCCCUCCCCUCCAACCCAGGCUCUGGUUCAUCGGCUAGCUCAGUAUCUUGAUUCUUCUUCUUCUCUAACAACUUUUUCCAACUGCCCCUUCAGGCGGAUUUGAAGCCUCAUCCUCAGCUUGAGCUACCCUCUCAUUGGCCAGCUCCGUCCCCAGCACAGCAUUCUGUGGUGCUGCAUUGCAACCGCAGCAGGUGCUAGUUGCAGAGUGUGAGUUACUACAUCCCUCCCCCCCGCCCCUACAAACGCCACCUCUAAUGAAUGGAUCCCCCCUUAUGCAAAGACUAACUGCCAGCACAUAUAUUAUGGGUUAGCGAAGGUUGCUUAGAAGUAUUAUAAUUCUUAAAUGCACAAAUGUUGCCUGACUUGUGAUGGUGAAGCCCAUUGUCAUGGCAGGAGAGAAGUUGCACAGAGCAACAGAGGGAUGAUGUCACUGUGUGGCACUGAAGUUGUGUAACUUAUUCUGAAUCAUGUAGGGUGACCAGAUAGGAAGUGUGAAAAAUCAGGACAGGAGGUGGGGGUAAUAGAUGCCUGUAUAAGACAAAGCCCCAAAUAUCAGGACUAUCCCUAUAAAAUUGGAAACAACCUAGAACCAUGGGAGGAGACUACUCAGAUGCAUUCAUAGUUUCUGCUCUCCUGGCUGGAGGCAGGGACUUCUGCAGAGUGCAGCAUCAAGCAAUCCUGUAUAAGGGUCUCUUGUCUCUUGGUGGAGAUAUGCAAGAAGCUGAAGAGGAGGCUGCAGUAGUCAAUACAGGAAUUGACCAGAGCACGGACUAACCUUCUGGCACCAGGGAAAAGGAGUAAGAAGCAUAUUUUGGAGAUAUCGCAGAGAAAGAAGGAGCUAGCUACAAAUACCAAUAAUGCUUUGCUGGCACUGCUCUUGAGGAAGAGUUUUUGUUCCAAGUUGGAAACACCUCUAAUGACACUGAAGACCAAUCUCCCAGAAAAUGACUGGGAAAUGUUAGAAUAAGCCUGAGUCAUUCUCAAAGAUGACCCUACCCUAGUUUUGAAGUAAAGCUACACUUGCCACACUUCCUUUCUGCUGAUUUACAUUUUUCUUUUUGGUUGGAGGCUGAAAGGAUUUAUAGCUCCAGAAAAGAUCUUCCUCCGUCUUAGAGGAAUUAAAUCAUUGCCAUCACUUCAGUUUUUGAGUAUCCAAAGAUUAACAUCAUAUUGACCUAUAGGGUUGAAUGAACCACAGAACAGAUGUUUGGAUAUUCAGCUGAACACUGAACCCAAUAGAAAAAUUCUAUGUUGGUCAGUUGAAAGUAGGCUCAGUCAUUUUAUGGGUGUGUGGGAUGCUAAAAUCUGGAUCUUGUAAAUGACACACAAUUUUUUUUCAAAAAUGUCUUUCCUGGCAAUUCACACGUGCUUCUGCGAUUUUGUUUUAUUUUUGUACACUACAGUGAGCCUCUGACACUGAUGCUCUUAUCCUAGCAACCGCACCUUAAAAUAAAUUAUUCUAAUAAUAAUUACAAAUUGCCAGAUAAUGACAAUCACCCAUUCAUAGGCGGUUCCACCCUAGAAUCUUAGUUGGGCCAUGAUGUUUCCAUCUUUGUUGCUUUUCACAUGGACUGUGUUCAGAGUAGAACAUGGCUGGGAUUGGGAGCAUAACAGGAGAUGGCUAAUUACUCAGCAACGCCCCCAUUUUCCCUUCCACUUCAUUCCCAGUCUCAAGAGCCCUGGGGAAACAGUGGAUGAGAACUGGGAUUAGCGAAAUCCAAAUCCCGACCAGUUAAACACACAACUAAACAAAAUAAAGGCCUCGCUCAUGCUUCUUUAUCUUUAUAGUGAUACUCUCAGAUUAUUUUACUGCAAUUAACAGUGUCAAAAAAACCUUAAAAUUUAGCUAAUAGCUAAAACAAAAACUGCAGAACAAGCAGGAGUAAGCAUUCAGUAGCAAGGACACUGACAACUGUAAACAAUUAAUAAGCUUAUAUGGUCAAUGCCUGCCCAGUAACGCAGUUCUUAGAACAGUGCUAACCCUCCCUUCACAACCCACUGGAUAUCUGUAAGCACUCAUCCCUAGCCCCACCUCCUCCUGUCUCCUUCCCCCGCAAGGUAGCCAUAGAUAUUUAAUGCAAUUAUGAUGACCUCUAUAUGUACGUACUGUUCUUAUUUUUAUCUUUGUUUGGAGUUCUCUCUUGACUUGUAACAAUGUCUGUGUCUGUAUGUACAAAUAAAUGCAAAUAAAUUAAUAAAAAUGUAUAUAACUGGCCACUAUGGCAUCAUAUCUUUGAAGCUGCUUGUCAGUCUUCCCAGUACCGUAAAUAAACCCCCUUCAGUAUUGUCUGUGCCUGCCUGAUUCUUGAAGAAAAGAAUCUUUUGCCUAACAGUUUUGGUGCAGCGAGCAGGGUGUGAUUGGGACUCCUCAGAAUGUUUCUCACAACCAGGGAUAGAGGCGAGUACCUUUUUACUUACCACCUCUAGCGCACACCUUGGUUUGGGACUCCGCGAGGCACCCCUCCACAUCACCCGUUUUUUUAAUACGAACCACAUAUAGGACGCACAGGCAAAAGGACUGAACGGGACUGUGUUUGUGGUCAAGAUUGUUGGGGUGCAGGGAUUGCUGGAGGCGAAGGCUGCCCUGCCAAGUACUGAGCACCAGAGUGUGUGCUGCAGUAAACUGAGCGCAAGGGUGUGCUCAGUCAGUCUUCCCUGCAGCCCCACUUAAGUGGGUUUCAGAAAGCUGGGAUACAAUGUCUUAUGAAUUGCCCCAAAAUGCAUCAACAAUACCCUUCACAGGGCGGGGGGCGGGGCUUGUUAGCAUGCCCCAGGGUGCACCAAUAAUACCCUCUACAGAAGGAAGACUCAUUGACUGGCCCCAGGGAACAUCAGUAAUGCCCUCCACUGGAGGGAAACUCAUGAAUUUUAUAAAAGGAAAACAUAAAAAGGUUCAAAAAAUAAUAGCAAAAAAUAAAGAAAAGAAGGGUAUAAGUACAAUAAAUAGCAUGUUGUAGUAAUCUAAUCAAACAAAAAAAAAUUAGGGAAAAUAUCAUACUAAUAUAUUACAAAUACAAAAAAAAAAUUACAAAAGUUAAAAACACUCCAAAAAGCUCUUACAUCAAAGCUAAGUCAUAAAGCAAAUUGCAGCCGCAAGCUAAAUAAGCUUAAAGCAAAAAACAAGCCUCUAAAAACAAAACUAAAAAAAAAAAACUUCUCUGCACGUCGUAUUGCUGCUAGCAUGCAACAAAAGGGUAAUUUUACUAACCCUAACUCAAGCAGCAAUACUAAUAAAAACCAAAAUAAAAUUAAUGAAAAACACCUUAAGAAACAAAGUCAAAACUGGAACCUGGCACACACGGGGGAAAAUCAAAAUAAUUGGCCACCUCCUCCUCUUCCCCCCCCUUUUAACCCAAAAUUAAGUGCCAGUGCUCCCUUGGCCCCUCGCCAAGUGACCACUCGGUGGUCAGGAACAGGUGAAAACAAAGUGGCUCAUAACACUUAUAUGUACGCUCCUCUCAGCACAAAGGAAAUGAGGGGCUUACUAAAAGAUCUCCCUAAUCUAAAGCCCAAAACCCCAAAUUUUAUAUUCUAAAAAAAAAAGCCAAAUGGUUACCACCUAUAUGUUACAUCCCAGGGAUCUUUAUAUCUUAACAAAAGCUAACUGCCCCAAUCUAUCAUGGGCCAAAAUCCCUACAAAAGGACACCAAAACGGCGACUGGGCCUCUGUUAAAUUUAAAUCUAAAAAUGAUAUGACCCUUCCCCACACUGAGUUUAAGAAAGCCGUCCAAGAAGCCUGGGGGAACGGAGCUGGUAAUUGGGGGCUGAUAGUGGGCUGCGUACAAGGCAAGCACAAGCCUGCCUCUCAAUAUUGUAAAAAAAAAGUGGGAAAUGUAUUCCAGCAAUGCAAGUAUUGCAGACCGCAAAAUCAGGCAUUUUAAAAAAUGUUAAAGAAAGGAUUUAACUCCCACCUGCAAACAGCCCUUAAUUUGGAAGUGAACCUAAACUCUAAUUAUAAAUCCAUCUGUAUGUGGGCCUCUAAAUGCAAAGCCAAACAAGCCAAAAAAAUAAGAAACAAAGCUGCUCGCAUUGCUAUGGUAACAGCAAAAAAUAAUGUAGCCUGCUAUAAUUGUGAGUGUCUCGGGCAUACCCCAAAAAAAUGCAGGCGCAAAACCCAAAAGCCUAGUCAGAAACAAAAUCAUGGCCAGUUAAAUCCCUGCAGUACCUCACUGCCCUUUCAAUCUGGUCCUGGUCCUGUCCCCACCCUCCCCCCGACCUCACAGUGUUUUGUAUGUGGGGAAACCGGACAUUGGGCAGCUGAAUGCCCAAGCCGAGGAGCCCUGGGCAACCGGCCUCAAACGGUAUCUCAACCAGCUGCCAACCCUUACUCACACCUAAGCAAAAAGAAAAUGGCCAGGCUUUUAAAUUCCAUAACCCACUAAAAUCCAGCAGCCCCCCCCUUGCCUGUCAGUACUGCUAAUGCAAAUAUAAAUCCCUCAAGGCCACACUUACAAGCAUGGAUAAGGGGCCAGCCAUGCACAAUUCUCGUGGACACGGAAGCAUCUGUUUCCAUUACUGACCUCCCUCUCCCCACUACUAAACAGUAUAUUCCUAUUUCAGGGGUCAAAGGUGCACAACUCAUGGUUUAUAAAAGCUAUCCUGUUCUUGUAAAAUCUAAUCUACUCUUCUGAACUCAGUCUCUUUUUUAAUGUAGCGCCAAAUGCAAAGGGGACUAUUUUGGGCAUGGAACGUCCUCUGCAACCUUGCAGCAACUCUUAACCUCGCUCAAAGUACAGUUACUAAUAAACUUAUGCGUACUCAUACCAUUCCCCUCCACAAUAAUACAUCCCUCUCUUCAGUUGCAACUGCCAAAUCUGUGGCUCUUACUUAAAAUACAUCUAACCCUUUUCAAGACUUAUCUUCAAGAUUUCCCUCUAUCUGGGCAAAAAAUAAGCUGCCUUGCAGUUCAAUGCCUGCUCAUCUCUGCCCACCAAUCCAGGUUACCAGCCAACUCGCUCCACCUACCAAGCAGUACCCUCUCAAACCUGAGGCUGUAAAUGCAGUAGGUAACAUUAUUCACUCUUUAUUUCAGCAAGGCAUACUGGUUCCUUGUGAAAGUGCACCCUCUUAAGCCCACGACCCUCCAAAAACCUCCUCUUGAGCAAACAUACCAAAAAAACCCCAAAACAGGUCAUGGUAAAACAUACAACUCCAGGGUACUUCAGUCAAAAUACUCCGACCUGCAUAUGGUAUUAGCCCAUACAAAUACCUCUGUAAAAGUGCAAAAAAUUCCAACAUGGGUCCAUAAAACCAAAAUUAAAAUGUAUAAAUAAAUUCAUUUUGUUUAUAUUAUAUCCUUUUAGGUAACAAACGUGACUCACCACGUUAAUCCUCCUGGCAAACAUACCUGAUGCAGCUUCCUGGGACCUGCCCUUGGUACAUGUUACACAAAAACCUGUUUCAAAGCUGGCCAGUAUGUGCAACUCCCUACAGGAAACAGCGGCAAAUGGGUAAAGAAACCAUACACUUGGCUUAUCCCCAGACCGGACCACCUGGGACCUAUUGUGGUUACAGCUCACCUCCCCAAACAUCCAGGCUCCAAGGUCUCAAUCCGACUACCACAGCCCGGGAGCAGACUUCGGCUCCCUCCCUGCAUUUCACCUGAUCUGGACUAUAACUGGGUAUUUAGCUUCGGGGCAUGUGGGCACACACAUGUAGGACCCCCAGUUUCAAAAUGCAAGGUCAUACAAUGCUUGCGUCAAAGGCCAACCACCCAAGCCCUUAAACAUACUAACCCUGGAUUAUUUUAUACUCUGACUGCAAUUAAUAUAGCCAUGUCACAAGCUAAAGGUUGUGCUUGUAAUACGCUGGCUCGUAAUCUGUUUAACAUUGCAAAAAAACCCAUGUUAAAUAUAUACCUGGGUUUUUCCCCGUCCCAUACCCUUUCCUCCUCCACCCUUGCCCACAUUGCAGGCAUCUCUACACAACUAAUAGUAGCCUCUCUACUUUCUCCAGACUCACCCUUCACCUUCAAUUUCCCUCUUGUGUAUCCUUCUAUCAUUCCCACUCAUGUGUUUCCUUCUUCUUUUCGUUUCAAGUCUGUUAAAUAUGUAACAAAUAAUAUGGUGUAUAAAGUAGGGCUGUCUGAAUACCUGACAUCAUCCCCUGACAAUGCUACACUAAUGACAACCUCAAACUGUGGCACAAAAACAGACAAUUACAUUGUAUGCUCCUGUUCUACCCUUCGCCAUUUGACCUUGUCCUCUUCUGUUGUUGUAAAUGUCCUUCCUCUUGCAAAUGGUGAAGUUGCUGUACAAGUAUCCGCUACUCAGUAGUGUUUCAUCACCCCUGCAUCUUAUUACAUGUACGAACCAUUACAGUGCCAGGCAAACGUUUCCAUGUGCCUGCAAAUUACUGACUCAUUUACCCUAGGAAAUGUCCACCUCCCCUGCCGUGUGUUCACUGGAAUAACAAUGGCUCCUCGGUGGUAUAAUAACCUAUAUCUGGACAAUACACCCAUUCAACUGGCCAAAAAACUACUUCUCAAAGUGGUCCUGGCUGCUGCGUCUGCAUUUACCACCGUUCGUAACCAUGUCACCAAAGGUCGCAUUCAAGUCCAGCUCUCCAAUCAAACCAUCACCCAACUAAAAAAUCCUGUUUAUAAUGCAUCUUACAGGCCCAUCUCCUGGUGAACAAUUGUCCAAAUAACAGCUGCCGCUUCUAUAUUUGUGUUACUAACCUCUCUUGUCAUGUGUGGGUACUUUAAACACAUGCUUAAAAAUCUUACUAUGUUUUCUACCUUUACCCCCUUCCCCCAAUUCCCCUCUCCUCCCCUCUCCCACCUCCCUUGGGCAACUCUAAAACAAAUCAUAUA